rnacentral:rRNA from 1 species
UGGGGAAUAUUGCGCAAUGGGGGGAACCCUGACGCAGCCAUGCCGCGUGAAUGAGGAAGGCCUUAGGGUUGUAAAGUUCUUUCGGUAUUGAGGAAGGUUGAUGUGUUAAUAGCACAUCAAAUUGACGUUAAAUACAGAAGAAGCACCGGCUAACUCCGUGCCAGCAGCCGCGGUAAUACGGAGGGUGCGAGCGUUAAUCGGAAUAACUGGGCGUAAAGGGCACGCAGGCGGUUAUUUAAGUGAGGUGUGAAAGCCCCGGGCUUAACCUGGGAAUUGCAUUUCAGACUGGGUAACUAGAGUACUUUAGGGAGGGGUAGAAUUCCACGUGUAGCGGUGAAAUGCGUAGAGAUGUGGAGGAAUACCGAAGGCGAAGGCAGCCCCUUGGGAAUGUACUGACGCUCAUGUGCGAAAGCGUGGGGAGCAAACAGGAUUAGAUACCCUGGUAGUCCACGCUGUAAACGCUGUCGAUUUGGGGGUUGGGGUUUAACUCUGGCGCCCGUAGCUAACGUGAUAAAUCGACCGCCUGGGGAGUACGGCCGCAAGGUUA